rnacentral:rRNA from 1 species
AACGAACGCUGGCGGCAGGCCUAACACAUGCAAGUCGAGCGCCCCGCAAGGGGAGCGGCGGACGGGUGAGUAACGCGUGGGAACGUGCCCUUUGCUACGGAAUAGCCCCGGGAAACUGGGAGUAAUACCGUAUAAGCCCUACGGGGGAAAGAUUUAUCGGCAAAGGAUCGGCCCGCGUUGGAUUAGGUAGUUGGUGGGGUAAUGGCCUACCAAGCCGACGAUCCAUAGCUGGUUUGAGAGGAUGAUCAGCCACACUGGGACUGAGACACGGCCCAGACUCCUACGGGAGGCAGCAGUGGGGAAUCUUAGACAAUGGGCGCAAGCCUGAUCUAGCCAUGCCGCGUGAGCGAUGAAGGCCUUAGGGUUGUAAAGCUCUUUCGUGGGGGAAGAUAAUGACUGUACCCCAAGAAGAAGCCCCGGCUAACUCCGUGCCAGCAGCCGCAGUAA